GCGGAUAUGGUGUAGUGGUAACAUAGGAGGUUUCCAACCUCUUGUCGCGGGUUCGACUCCCGCUAUCCGCA
rfam:Euryarchaeota archaeon TMED99 36771, whole genome shotgun sequence.